rnacentral:rRNA from 1 species
GAUGAACGCUGGCGGCGUGCCUAAUACAUGCAAGUCGAGCGAACGGACGAGAAGCUUGCUUCUCUGAUGUUAGCGGCGGACGGGUGAGUAACACGUGGAUAACCUACCUAUAAGACUGGGAUAACUUCGGGAAACCGGAGCUAAUACCGGAUAAUAUUUUGAACCGCAUGGUUCAAAAGUAAAAGACGGUCUUGCUGUCACUUAUAGAUGGAUCCGCGCUGCAUUAGCUAGUUGGUAAGGUAACGGCUUACCAAGGCAACGAUGCAUAGCCGACCUGAGAGGGUGAUCGGCCACACUGGAACUGAGACACGGUCCAGACUCCUACGGGAGGCAGCAGUAGAGAAUCUUCCGCAAAGGGCGAAAGCCUGACGGAGCAACGCCGCGUGAGUGAUGAAGGUCUUCGGAUCGUAAAACUCUGUUAUUAGGGAAGAACAUAUGUGUAAGUAACUGUGCACAUCUUGACGGUACCUAAUCAGAAAGCCACGGCUAACUACGUG